CCCUUAGAUGUCCUGGGCAGCACGCGUGCUACAAUGAUGCAUUCAACGAGUCUUGCCUUAACCGAAAGGUUCGGGUAAACUUUUGAAAUUGCAUCUUGUCGGGGCUUGAUCAUUGUAAUUUUUGAUCACAAACAAGGAAUUCCUUGUAAAUGUGAGUCAUCAACUUGCAUUGAAUACGUCCCUGCCCUUUGUACACACCGCCCGUCGCUCCUACCGAUGGGUGAUCCGGUGAAUGAUUCGGACUUCAGCGGCUCCCCUGGGGUGCGCCGGAGAAAGUUUUGUGAACCUUAUCACUUGGAGGAAGGAGAAGUCGUAACA
rnacentral:rRNA from 1 species